rnacentral:lncRNA from 1 species
AACUUGUGAUUUUUUUUAAGAUCAUGCUUUAAAUCAAGCUUUAUGAAAUGCAAGCGACCUGAAUUUUCAUGUAACCUGAGAUAUGUAGGAAACCUAAUACCGAGGUCCGGCCACAACUCCAAAACUCGUUGGAAAAUCGAUCUCUUUCAAAAAUAAAUUUGUGAUCGAACAAAAAUUAGGAACGUCAAACUCCCUUUGCCUAAGGUUACUUGCAUCCACCCUACCUAAA